UUCUUACACUAAUGAUACCUAUUCAUGGGAGACCACAACUAAUUGUAGUAAGUUUCACUGAUAAAUGUCUUUAAUUGAAAUUUACAUAACGGUGUUUACUAGUAACUAUUUCAUACACUC